rnacentral:rRNA from 1 species
GUUUUGGUUCAUUAGAUGGUACGAACAGUUACUUGGAUAACUGUGGUAAUACUAGAGCUAAUACACGCAAAUUGAGUUCCGACCAUUCUUUGGAAGGAAUGCUUUUAUUAGAUCAAAACUAAUCGGGUGAUAAAUCCGUAUAAUCUGGUGACUCUGAAUAACUUUGGGCUGAUCGCAUGGUCAAGCACCGGCGACGCAUCUUUCAAAUGUCUGCCUUAUCAACUUACGAUGGUAGGUUCUGUGCCUACCAUGGUUGUAACGGGUAACGGGGAAUUAGGGUUCGAUUCCGGAGAGGGAGCCUGAGAGACAGCUACCACAUCCAAGGAAGGCAGCAGGCGCGCAAAUUACCCACUCCCAGCACGGGGAGGUAGUGACGAAAAAUAACGAUGCAGAACUCUUUCCGAGGCUCUGCAAUCGGAAUGAGUACACUCUAAAUCAUUUAACAAGUAUCCAUUGGAGGGCAAGUCUGGUGCCAGCAGCCGCGGUAAUUCCAGCUCCAAUAGCGUAUAUUAAAGUUGUUGCGGUUAAAAAGCUCGUAGUUGGAUUUGUGUUUCACACUGCUGGUUCGUUGUACGUCAACGUUAACCGGCAUGUCUGUGGAACGUAUAGUCGGUUGAAGGCGUACUACUUUAUUGUGUGUACGACUUUCAGUUUAAUCCUGUCGCGGUGCUCUUUAUUGAAGUGUCGAGGCAGGCCGACACGUUUACUUUGAACAAAUUUGAGUGCUUACAGCAGGCUUCGAUAGCCUGAAAAUCAUUUGCAUGGAAUAAUGGAAUAGGAUCUCGGUUCUAUUUUAUUGGUUUUCUGAAUCCGAGGUAAUGAUUAAUAGGGACAGGCGGGGGCAUUAGUAUUGCGACGUUAGAGGUGAAAUUCUUGGAUCGUCGCAAGACUGACCUAAGCGAAAGCAUUUGCCAAGGAUGCUUCCAUUAAUCAAGAACGAAAGUUAGAGGCUCGAAGGCGAUCAGAUACCGCCCUAGUUCUAACCAUAAACGAUGCCAGCCAGCGAUCCGUCGAAGUUUCUCCGAUGACUCAACGGGCAGCUUCCGGGAAACUAAAGCAUUUAGGUUCCGGGGGAAGUAUGGUUGCAAAGCUGAAACUUAAAGGAAUUGACGGAAGGGCACCACCAGGAGUGGAGCCUGCGGCUUAAUUUGACUCAACACGGGGAAACUCACCAGGCCCAGACACCGAAAGGAUUGACAGAUUUACAGCUUUUUCUUGAUUCGGUGGGUGGUGGUGCAUGGCCGUUCUU